rnacentral:rRNA from 1 species
AGAGUUUGAUCCUGGCUCAGAACGAACGCUGGCGGCGCGCCUAAUACAUGCAAGUCGAGCGAGAAGGUGUAGCAAUACACUUGUAAAGCGGCGAACGGGUGAGGAAUACAUGGGUAAUCUACCAUCGAGUGGGGAAUAACCAACCGAAAGGUUGGCUAAUACCGCGUACGCUUCCGAGUCUUCGGGUUUGGAAGGAAAGCCGUGCUGUGAGUACGGCGCUCUUUGAUGAGCUCAUGUCCUAUCAGCUUGUUGGUAGGGUAACGGCCUACCAAGGCUUUGACGGGUAGCUGGUCUGAGAGGACGAUCAGCCACACUGGCACUGCGACACGGGCCAGACUCCUACGGGAGGCAGCAGUAAGGAAUAUUGCGCAAUGGGCGAAAGCCUGACGCAGCGACGCCGCGUGGGGGAUGAAGGUCUUCGGAUUGUAAACCCCUUUCGGGAGGGAAGAUGGAGCGAGCAAUCGUUCGGACGGUACCUCCAGAAGCAGCCACGGCCAACUUCGUGCCAGCAGCCGCGGUAAUACGAAGGUGGCAAGCGUUGUUCGGAUUCACUGGGCGUACAGGGUGUGUAGGCGGUUUGGUAAGCCUUCUGUUAAAGCUUCGGGC